GUCGAACGCGAAAGUUUCCUUCGGGGAGCGAGUAGAGUGGCGCACGGGUGAGUAACACGUAGGUAAUCUACCUUUGGAUGGGGAAUAACAACCGGAAACGGUUGCUAAUACCGCAUAAUGCAGCGGCACCUAAUGGUGACAGUUGUUAAAGCGGGGGAUCGAAAGACCUCGCGUCUGAAGAGGAGCCUGCGGCGGAUUAGCUAGUUGGUAAGGUAAUGGCUUACCAAGGCGAUGAUCCGUAACCGGCCUGAGAGGGCGGUCGGUCACACUGACACUGACAUACGGGUCAGACUCCUACGGGAGGCAGCAGUCGGGAAUUUUGGGCAAUGGGCGAAAGCCUGACCCAGCAACGCCGCGUGAAGGAUGAAAUCCCUCGGGAUGUAAACUUCGCAAGAACAGGAAGAAUAAGUAAGGGUUAAUAUCUCUUACGAUGACGGUACUGUUUGUAAGCUCCGGCUAACUCCGUGCCAGCAGCCGCGGUAAUACGGGGGGAGCAAGCGUUGUUCGGAUUUACUGGGCGUAAAGGGCGCGUAGGCGGCCACCGCAAGUCGGUUGUGAAAUCUCUGGGCUUAACUCAGAAAGGUCAACCGAUACUGCGGGGCUAGAGUGCAGAAGGGGCAACUGGAAUUCUCGGUGUAGCGGUGAAAUGCGUAGAUAUCGAGAGGAACACCUGCGGCGAAAGCGGGGUGCUGGGCUGACACUGACGCUGAAGCGCGAAAGCUAGGGGAGCGAACGGGAUUAGAUACCCCGGUAGUCCU
rnacentral:rRNA from 1 species